rnacentral:rRNA from 1 species
CGGGGGAGCAAGCGUUGUUCGGAUUUACUGGGCGUAAAGGGCGCGUAGGCGGCCACCGCAAGUCGACUGUGAAAUCUCCGGGCUUAACCCGGAAAGGUCAGCCGAUACUGUGGGGCUAGAGUGCAGAAGGGGCAACUGGAAUUCUCGGUGUAGCGGUGAAAUGCGUAGAUAUCGAGAGGAACACCUGCGGCGAAGGCGGGUUGCUGGGCUGACACUGACGCUGAUGCGCGAAAGCUAGGGGAGCGAACGGGAUUAGAUACCCCGGUAGUCCUAGCCUUAAACGAUGAAUGCUUGGUGUCUGGGGUUUUAUAGUCCCCGGGUGCCGUCGCUAACGCUUUAAGCAUUCCGCCUGGGGAGUACGGUCGCAAGACUG